AGGAUAAUAUUAACAGGAGAUAUGAACGAAAGGUUGAACCCUGAUAAAACGCGACAUUCACUACAAAUUGAAGGUAUGAAAUUAAGUUAAAUGAAAGCUCGUUUAUUCACCAUAUGAUGCUCGUUAUGAGGUAAUCAUAUAGGCUAGAUACCGUGAGUUAACGAGGUCGUUUACAUGCACGUGAGUGCACGGAUAUCGGUUAAUUAUUAAAAUUAAGAAAACCGCAACCGCAUUGCCAUGUGUUUUUCCAAGAUGUUUGCAAACAGGGGAAAUAUCACCAAACCAACAAUUCAUUUUACCAAAACCUCACUAUAUAUCAUCAUUUGUAUGCACAGAUUGCUGGAUUGGAUGCAUUGUGUGUUGUAAGCUUUUCGUGGCGCAGAUGUCAGACAGAUGCAAAUGGCAAAUACAUACGAAAGUGUAAAACGUGUAUGGCGAACAUUUGUUUUUCUGUCAUUAUAGAUGCUAGUUUGGUGAAAGUAAGUUACACACUGAGUGCUUCAAAUCAUUCAGAAGAGAUGCUGUUUUUAAGGGCAGUUUAUUAAAGAAGACCUGACAUGGAUGACUUCCAAUGAGAAACGACUGCUAAUACUUAUAUAAAUUCAUUACAGAAGGACCCUACCAGACUAUAUUUGAAUACGGCAUACCCAUGAAUUCUGAACUGUUAUUCCUUAACCCAGUUUGGAGGAUAAGAGCUUACCAACUAGUUAUAAAUAUGCUGAGGCGAUGUAUUGCAAAAUAGCCAACAUACAACAAUUAAAGGAUAAUUGCAGACUACAUCCUGAUGAAGAUAUGGAUGACCCUCUGUCUGGUCAACAGGAGUUUAAAUAUGGACGGGACAGUUAUGUGGCAGCUCUUCCCUGGCUCAUUCACCUCUUGCCUUCAUUUGUGAAAGGAAGAAAGACUGGAGAGGGUCAAUGUGCAACUGAAGCUACUGAUUGUGCUGUGUGAUGAGCAUCAAUCCAUGCUUUGAGGGGGAUGAAUCAGCACAGCCCUGCCUGCUCUGCGUUGGGAACAGAAGUUGCAUCCAGCGUUUUUGCAUCAUUCUGGACCAAAAAGCCAUUCCCUGCAUGAUGAAGACCACUGAUGCAGCCUUCCACUACAUCAUGAGUAAAACAACUACAGAACUAAAUACCAGGUUGAAACGUCUUUUGAAUUGAAAUGUCUGUUUUGUUAUGGAAAAAUCUUUAGUAUUGUGAAGGAUAACAUUUCUGCCUGCCAGUAAGGUAAUUGCAGUGUAUUUUAAUGUUCAAGUUUUGAGUAGGGUGGCUAAUUUUUUUUAACUCUCAUUUGAUUUAUUAAAGACCUUAUAAUAAGUGGUUUUCAUGUCACUGCGCUGUGGUAUAAGAUAACUUUCAUUAUUCCAUACUGUAUUCUGUUUCUAAUUGUAGCUGAGGUAUUUAAAUAAGCAGUGUUAAAUGCAAAGUGUUGUGUGUAUCAAUGUAAAUAUUAAAUGUGAUGUACUUUAAUAAAAAGAGGUUUUGCAAUA